GGGAAAUAAAAUUAAAGAAGCGGGCAUUUGUGGACUGAGCUGUGGAUUCACUAAUCAGAGCCAGGAGAUUAGUGUCCUGGUGCCGGGGAAUGGGGCAGUAGUCUGGGCUUCACCUUCACUCCGAGAAUGACAUUUCCCCUGUAAUCCUGACUCCUAGCUCCGCUUAUACAGUGUCUCUGAAGGGAAGGCUAGUCAAGUAUGAAUGAUAGUACACUCAAGAGCAAGGGAUUUGAAUACAUUUUGUGCACAGAAACUUUUGACUAUUUAACACUAUUUUAUUGUACAUUGAAAAGUUGUGUAUGUCCUUGGGGUCACGGUAUGAUAUGUGUACAAUAUGGAAUGAUGAAAUCAAGAGAACUCACUUGACACAUAAAAUUCUGGUGGUUUCUGAUAUGAACAUUUGAAAUGUUUCUUUAGCAAUUUUGAAACGUGUAGCACCCUGUUGUUGAUAAUAAUAAUCUCUGUUCAUUGCAAUAAUCUUGAAAGUUCUUCCUGUCUAAUUGAAGAUUCGGCCUACUUCGAUCACCAUCUUUCCUUUCUCCUUAAUCUUCAUUCUCCAUGCCCUGCAGGUACAGCAUUCAGCUCUGCUACCACAAAUAUGAUUGCCUUAAAGAAGACUGAAAUUGUGUCCUGUGCAGGCCUGACUGUUUUCACUUCAUACAAGUUUCUUCUCUGCUGUUGCAAAUGGAUGACGAGUUUCCUUCCUUUGGUGUGGCAGGCUACCUGAUCUUCACCUAUCCAGAGGAGUUUUGAUUUGAUGGAGCCCCUUAGAUUGGUGUAUGCACUUAUUCCUUUUACGAUCUCAAGCAUGGUAACAAGGAUAGUGACCUUAAGGACUGCCAUCCAGCAUUUGGUAGGUGGAAGCAUCAGUUCUUGGGUACCUAAUUUGCUAACCCUACAAGUGCUAUAUAGCUCUUAAGUGGUCAAAGAAAGUGGGAUUCUUUGUCCCUUGGUUGCAGCUGGCAUAAUUAAAACAUUCAAAUAAGCAUAUGUGUUGGGAUUCCUCUGUCUUUAAAGAAAUGAUGUGUGUGAUCUUGUGCAUGCCAUGGUAUACAGGUAGAGGUGAAAGGACAGCUCACUGGACUUGAUUUCUUUUUCCUUUCAUCAUGAGUCUUGGGGAUCAAAAUUAGGUUGUCAGGUUGAGCCACAUCACGGGUCUUCUGCAGAAUCUACUGAAGUUCUUUUAUAGGUCCGCUAUGUUGGGGUUCCUUAACCUGUAACUCAGACCUAUGUCAUAGCUCUUGACAGACGGUCUGUUUCCUUUGGCUGUAAGUUUUUCACAGCCCUUUGGAACUACCCUGGUGACUAGGACUUGCCUUUCUGGGUUUUGACAGGCCUUUGUUUCUUCAGCAUUAACUCUUCAUCCUGUCUUAUUUCUUAUUCUGCAGCCUUACUGCCUGACCGGGCCACUCUGGUGCUCUUCCCCUUCGCCGCCCUCAGCUGUUAACAGCUAGCCAUCCUUCUUGGCCUAACAUCUUUCACUUGGAUGCAUUUGUCCAUCACUCUCUUGCUGCUUUGCGUUAUCAGCUCAGCCUGCACUAUUAAAUAUAGGUAAGAAGAGACCACUUCAGAGAAGUUGUUUGUUGGGCCUGAUGUUACGACAUCAUAAGAAAGCAUAGGAGAAUUUAUCUUAAGCUUUCAACCUUCCUAAUGCUGAGACCCUUUCAUACAGUUACUCAUGUUGUGGUGACCCC
ensembl:lncRNA LOC108349241 uncharacterized LOC108349241